rnacentral:rRNA from 1 species
UACGGAGGAUGCAAGCGUUAUCCGGAAUUAUUGGGCGUAAAGCGUUCGCAGGUGGCUCUUCAAGUCUGCUGUCAAAGACCGGGGCUUAACCCUGGAAAGGCAGUGGAAACUGAAGCGCUAGAGUGUGGCAGGGGUAGAGGGAAUUCCUGGUGUAGCGGUGAAAUGCGUAGAGAUCAGGAGGAACACCGGUGGCGAAGGCGGCUUACUGGUCCGGUUCUGACGCUGAGGAGCGAAAGCGUGGGGAGCAAACAGG